rnacentral:piRNA from 1 species
UACAGGGCACAUUGAUGCAUUCCUGCCUCGA